GAUGAACGCUGACAGAAUGAUUAACACAUGCAAGUCAACUGUGGCGGACGGGUGAGUAACGCGUAAAGAACUUGCCUCACAGCUAGGGACAACGUUUGGAAACGAAUGCUAAUACCUGCUACGAUGAGAGAGCUUUGCGGCCCAUUGGCUAGUUGGAGAGGUAACGGCUCACCAAGGCGAUGAUGGGUAGCCGGCAUGAGAGGGUGAUCGGCCACCAGGGGACUGAGAACCGGCACUUACUCCUACGUGAGGCAGAAGUGGGGAAGAUUGGACAAUGGACCAAAGUCUGAUCCAGCAAUUCUGUGUGCACGAUGAAGUUUUCGUAAUGUAAAGUGCUUUUAGUUGGGAAGCGGUACCAACAGAAGAAGUGACGGCUAACUACGGGCCAGCAGCGGCGGUAAUUC
rnacentral:rRNA from 1 species